GCCGCGUCUUACGCUCCGAAGCCGCCGUGUAGCUCUGUGCUCGUACAGACGCCAAGCCACGCGGGCCCCGAUUGUGAAAGUGCGAUCGCAACGAUUUCUCGGUAGUGAGAGUAAACCGAGCCCGUACAAACCUAAACUCAAACAAGUGCUGUGAAUUCUCUCGCGUGCUCAAGACAGAGUUCAAUGGAAGCCAGGUUUGUGACUUGCCGGAGUUUCCAGCAGAUCAAGCCGCCCGAGAAGAGUUUAGCACCGCCGCCGACGGUGAAGGGGCUGCUGUCUCGCUUCGGAAGCCAGGCUCAAGCUUUGUUCGCGCCGAAGAAGCCACGAUUCGGCUCCACUGUAGCCAUACACAAGUUGAGGGAGUCGAAGUGGUUUAAGCAUGAUGAGCAGAAUAUUUUGUGCGCCGUCCUCGAGACCGGAUUCGUUUUGGAGGUUAGGGCGGAGGACCCCCUGCCGCCGGACUCGACGUUGUCCCCUGACUACCAUAUGUACGCCAUUGCCAUGUGGAAGAAGGGUAAAGAAAAAACAAAAAACCCGGAACAGAUAGAGGUGUACACGGUCCAGCAAAAGGGUGUGCGCAAACGUAUCAUCAAGACAACCUUGAGUGCCUUCUGGAAGAAAGACUCCGUCAUACGAAUCAACAACGUAGACGACAAGCAGGAAACCCCUAACAGCGAAAAGGACAUCAGAGCAAAGCUCGAGAUGGCAACAAAAUCCAGAUUCGAAAGAAACUGGCAUAAUACACUGCAUUUCGUGCACUGGUGCCGAUAUGGGGAAACUCCGCAAGAAGCUCGCAUGAGACAGAUCAGCUUAACGACGUCGAAAACACCUAUGAUUAUCAUCUUUUGAUGGUUUUCUUUGAGGCGAUUUGGACUAACGGCUGGCGACAUAACUAUACCGAUAAGCGAGUCGCUAAAGUGGGGCAACAUUGGCAUGAGUAUGGGCGUCAUGCUCGUAAGUCAAACCAAUGGCCGCGCCAAGGCUAAAUCCGUCUGAGUAUUGCAGGCCGGCCACAGCAGCGCCGGCACAUGUUAUGCUUGCUUCUGGCAACCCACGCCCGGGAACAUAGACUUCGUUUGAAUUUCGAACCGCAGGUUCUCUAUCAUUCCAUUUUCGUAAAUUAAAAAAAAUAUAACUAGAAUAAAAACACAGACUAAAGAAAAUAAAGACUGGAUCCUCUGAAAUAUUAAUGUGCGAGGUUAUUUAAAUAUAGAACUGGUUGGUUCUUAGUUCUUUAGUCUGUGGUUAUAAAGAGAUUCUCAGUAUAAAUAUGUUAGAAUAUUAAAUUUUUGUCUAUGGUAGCUCGGGUAAGGGAAAUGUACUAAAGUAAAAAGAAUACAAAUAACGGAAUCUCUCGCAUUAUAUUUAAGGAUGAGGUCCGUCUAACAUGUUAUUUAUGAAUGGUUGAUAAAAUUUGAAAAUAUUAUUGCAUUGUGAAUAUUUAAGGGAUACUUUUGUAAAUGAAUUGUUUUGUGAGUUAUGGGGUAACAAUUUUAUUUAUUUUUCUUUGGUUCUAUUAUUGAAAUAAUAAAAUUUCCCUACUCUCUGGCAUUCUAAGUCCAAAAAUGUUUAUAAUGUGAGGGAUUAAAAAAAGCUUUAAUUUUCUUUAGAAUUUGGUUUAAUUUGAAGUAAAAGUAACAUUCCUGAAAUAAGAAAAGACGCGCCCCGCGUAAUAUUAAUAAAUUAACUAAUGUACAAUAUGUUUAAUAAAAUUGUAUUAUCCGCCGUAUUGUUUACGUGUGUGAGGAUAAUUGUACGAAGAGUUUUUGUUGUUUAUUGUAUAUUAAGAAUUAAGAAUUUUUGAUUUAAUAAGACUGUUUUUGAUUUUUGAAAUCGUUAUUUAAUUGAAACUACGAAAAACCUGUGAACGCUCAUUAUGCUUCUGAUAAAUGCUAAGCAAAAAAUAAUAAAGUGUAGAAAAAUUUAAAAAAAAAACACUUUUAACAUUUAUUCCAUUUAAAUAAAUAUAAAACAUUUACUAUACUUCUAAAUAAAUUUACAGUUGGCAUUUUGUACUUAACCUUUCAAUUGAUAUAAUUUAUCUGUGGAUAGUUGUCUACAGAUAAAAAUACGUUUCCUUCUGUCUAUGGUUUUACUCAUUCUGAAUCUUUUUGGACAGGCGGUACUACUACUACAUUUCAUGUUUUUUUCUGAAUAUACAUAAAUGUUUAAUAGUAAGAAGCUUUUAGUCACACUUAACUAUAAUUUAUGGAAAUUGUAGUUACACGGUUUUUCGUAGUUACGCAUUGAUGAGUAUUGUUAAGUAUUCAUAUUUAUAAUGUAUAACGAUCUAAUGAGAAUGUUUAUACGAAAUGCGUUAGACUGUUUGAGAGUUAAUCGAGCAAGUUAAUGUUUUAUUUAUGAAGCAUUUUUUUAUAAAUAAAGUUUUAAACAGAA